UUCUCAGAGUGCGGCGGCGAACGGGCUGAAGCAGCCGGAGGACGAGAGGCGGGGUGGGCGGAAGGGGGAGGAAAUCCCAUCACUGGGGCGCCAGCCUGGACGUUCCCGCCUCCUCCGACACUGUCGGGUCCGAUCGGAGAAGGGUCACCGCCUCCUCCAGCGAGAAGGGGGGCGGAGUCCGGCUCAGGAUCAUGGAUUUUCCUGGCCACUUUGAACAGAUCUUCCAGCAGCUGAACUACCAGAGACUUCACGGCCAGCUCUGUGAUUGUGUCAUUGUAGUGGGGAACAGACAUUUCAAAGCCCACCGCUCGGUACUAGCAGCAUGCAGUACACAUUUCCGAGCCCUGUUCUCUGUGGCAGAGGGAGAUCAGACCAUGAACAUGAUCCAGUUGGAUAGCGAGGUAGUGACAGCGGAGGCCUUUGCCGCACUGAUUGACAUGAUGUAUACCUCCACCCUCAUGCUGGGGGAGAGCAAUGUUAUGGAUGUCUUAUUGGCAGCCUCUCACCUGCACUUGAACUCUGUUGUUAAGGCAUGUAAACAUUACCUAACGACAAGGACGCUGCCCAUGUCUCCCCCCACCGAGCGCGUUCAGGAGCAGAGUGCCCGCAUGCAGCGCUCCUUUAUGCUGCAGCAGCUGGGACUGAGCAUCGUGAGCUCAGCCCUCAAUUCCAGCCAGAGUGGUGAGGAGCAGCCGGCCCCCAUGAGCUCCUCGAUGCGCAGUAACCUGGACCAGCGGACACCGUUCCCCAUGAGACGCCUGCAUAAGCGCAAGCAGUCUGCAGAGGAGCGGGCCAGACAGCGGCUCCGACCCACCCUGGAUGAGUCUGCCAUCUCCGACGUUACGCCAGAGAAUGGGCCGGGGGUUCAUUCUCGGGAGGAGUUCUUUUCACCAGAUUCUCUGAAGAUCGUGGAUAACCCUAAAGCUGACGGGAUGACCGACACCCAGGACGACAGCGCCAUCAUAUUUGACCGGCCCUUUGGUGCUCAAGAAGAUGCCCAGGUGCCCAGCCAGUCCGACAACAGCACCGGCAACGUGACCCAGCUCUCCAUGGCCUCCCGCGCCACUCAGGUCGAGGCUAGUUUUGAGCAGGAAGCCACACCUGAGAAAAGUGGUUUUCAGUGCGAAAACCCUGAGGCUGGCCUUGGUGAGAAGGAGCACAUGAGAGUGGUGGUUAAAUCUGAGCCCCUGAGCUCUCCUGAGCCUCAGGAUGAAGUGAGCGACGUGACCUCCCAAGCGGAAGGCAGCGAAUCGGUGGAGGUGGAGGGAGUGGUGGUCAGUGCCGAGAAGAUAGACCUCAGCCCCGAGAGCAGCGACCGGAGUUUUUCAGAUCCCCAGUCUAGCACUGACCGGGUAGGAGACAUCCAUAUUUUGGAAGUCACAAAUAACCUAGAACAUAAAUCCACUUUUAGCAUUUCAAAUUUUCUUAACAAGAGCAGAGGAAGUAACUUUAGUGCAAAUCAGAACAAUGACGAUAAUAUCCCAAACACCACUAGUGACUGCAGGCUGGAGGGGGAGGCCCCUUAUCUGUUGAGUCCAGAGGCUGGGCCUGCAGGCGGGCCCUCCUCAGCCCCUGGCUCUCACAUGGAGAACCCGUUCAGCGAACCCACAGAUGCUCACUUCGUCAGGCCUAUGCAGGAAGUGAUGGGCCUGCCAUGUGUGCAGACCUCAGGCUACCAAGGAGGAGAACAGUUUGGGAUGGAUUUUUCCAGGUCUGGUCUGGGGUUGCAUUCCUCCUUCUCCAGGGUAAUGAUGAGCUCCCCUAGAGGUGGAGCCAGUAACUUUCCAUACUACCGCCGCAUAGCUCCCAAAAUGCCAGUGGUAACGUCAGUCAGGAGCUCACAGAUCCCAGAGAACUCUGCCAGUUCCCAGCUAAUGAUGAACGCGGCCACAUCCUCAUUUGAAAAUGGCCACCCUUCGCAGCCCGGCCCCCCGCAGUUGACGAGGGCAUCUGCUGACGUCCUGUCAAAGUGCAAGAAGGCCUUAUCGGAGCACAACGUCUUAGUCGUAGAGGGGGCUCGCAAGUAUGCCUGCAAAAUCUGCUGCAAGACUUUCCUGACCUUGACAGAUUGCAAGAAGCACAUCCGUGUUCACACAGGUGAAAAACCCUACGCCUGCCUCAAGUGCGGCAAGAGGUUCAGUCAGUCCAGCCACCUGUACAAACACUCGAAGACCACCUGCCUGCGCUGGCAGAGCAGCAACCUUCCCAGCACUUUGCUCUAACCCGACCUCUUGAGAUAAUGCUGAGGCCAGUAUCAGGACCUAAACUACAGUCUCUCUUGGUUGGUGGUUAAUGCCGUUGGGUUUGAGGCUUCAGGCUGCAAAUGGCUCAUGCAAAUUUCGAUGACUAAUAAAUGGAGAAUUAAUAGGUGUAGUGCUUGUACUGCUACAUUUCUGAGUGAAAUGUACGCUUUCAGAGAAGGGAUCCAAUCCCUGAAACCAAAUUCUUCCUUAGGGUUAAGUAAUGCAGUCAGAAAGUAGUUUGGAAUCGAUGUCAUUAAAAGUGGCACAUUUGACAAUUAAAAAUUGAAGUGCAAAAGUUUUUUUUAGCAAUUUUUGUAAAACUCUGAAGCAUUUAAAUUUCCUAUAUACCUUCUGAUGAGAUUAUAUACCUGUACAGUGAUGCAAGGUAAACUUAAGUGUAACCAGUGGCAACUUUGUGCCUGUCUAAAAGGAAGGCCCUUGAGGACAUACCUGUCUGCCAAAAAUGCUUUAAAGUUUAUCAUGAGCUAGUCCUAGGCUUCAGAAAAUACUGUAUUUUUUAUUUUUGUCUGAUUUGCAGUCACAGACACUGCACUUUCAUGGUGCUGACACUGGGUCCAGAGCGAGCAUUCUCUGGACUAUUAGGUGUAUAUAUACUUUUGAAAACAUCACUGUUUGUUACAUAGAUGUUUUAACAAUUUUUCCUGGUUUUAAAAACAAAGUUGUAAAAGGAGUAUGUACUUAUAGGGAGCAACAAGUAAGGUAUUGUUUCUGUAUGUGCUGUUUUAGCAGUAUUUUAACCAACUUGUAUUACAUAUGUUACAGUUCCAUGUUUGGAAGUCAGAAAAGAGCUAGUGUUUGUCUUUGUUCUGAUGGUGUGGAGUCCUGUUUCGUGAGAUCUUUUAUGGCGCAUUUACCCUUUGUUCCGUGCAGAUUUCGGGGGCUGGUGCAGCCUGACACAUCUCACCCAACGACAAACCCGUUGUCUGCUUCACUUCUUCACAUUCAUGCCACAUAUGGCAUCUUUCCCGGGCCUAGAUUACUGUUUUCAGAUGUGGGGGAGACGGCUGGAGGCUGUGGG